UACGGGGGGGGCAAGCGUUGUUCGGAAUUACUGGGCGUAAAGGGCUCGUAGGCGGCCAACUAAGUCAGACGUGAAAUCCCCAGGCUCAACCUGGGAACUGCGUCUGAUACUGGAUGGCUUGAAUUCGGGAGAGGGAUGCAGAAUUCCAGGUGUAGCGGUGAAAUGCGUAGAUAUCUGGAGGAAUACCGGUGGCGAAGGCGGGUCUCUGGGCAGUAACUGACGCUGAGGAGCGAAAGCGUGGGGAGCGAACAGG
rnacentral:rRNA from 1 species